GUAUGACUAUUGUACAAAACUAAUAAUUCCGUAAGCAUCUAUUUUUUUCCAUGGCUUGUAUUAGCAGCUUUCUGCCAAAAUAGAGAAUCUAAAAGAAGGAUAAAAAAAUAUUAAAAAUAUAACACGCGAUACAUGUUAGUUAGCAUAUUUGGUAGUCAUCUGAUGGAUUUAGCUUAUGGAAUAUUUAGUGUAUGACAGUGAUCUAGUAGUCAUUGAUUGCUAGUGUUCUCUACCAAUCAUUCCUAUAUUUGUCACAACAACAUAGUUGAUACAACAUGGUCCACUUUCAUGUUGAAGUAAUGAAAGAUGAUGAUGAUACAAGUUGUCAGUUGUUACUGUUAAAACUGCAGGCUUCAUGCCGCCUGUCAUUAUUGCUUUGACUGAUUUACUAUCUCCUUAUAAUUACUUCCUUUAUAGACAAAAUGAAGUGCUGACCUUCACUGGAUUGGGGCAAGGUCUAUUGGAAAUAGGAGGCUAUAUGUAUAUAUAUUAUUUGUGGAAGAGAGGAUUGAUGAUUUAGAAGCUUGAUUGAUGUU
rnacentral:lncRNA from 1 species